CCUACGGGAGGCAGCAGUGGGGAAUUUUGGACAAUGGGCGAAAGCCUGAUCCAGCAAUGCCGCGUGAGUGAAGAAGGCCUUCGGGUUGUAAAGCUCUUUUGUCGGGGAAGAAACGGUGUGGGCUAAUAUCCCGCACUAAUGACGGUACCUGAAGAAUAAGCACCGGCUAACUACGUGCCAGCAGCCGCGGUAAUACGUAGGGUGCAAGCGUUAAUCGGAAUUACUGGGCGUAAAGCGUGCGCAGGCGGUUUUGUAAGUUUGUCGUGAAAGCCCCGGGCUCAACCUGGGAAUUGCGAUGAAGACUGCAAGGCUUGAAUCUGGCAGAGGGGGGUAGAAUUCCACGUGUAGCAGUGAAAUGCGUAGAGAUGUGGAGGAACACCGAUGGCGAAGGCAGCCCCCUGGGUCAAGAUUGACGCUCAUGCACGAAAGCGUGGGGAGCAAACAGGAUUAGAUACCCUGGUAGUCCACGCCCUAAACGAUGUCUACUAGUUGUCGGGUUUUAAUUAACUUGGUAACGCAGCUAACGCGUGAAGUAGACCGCCUGGGGAGUACGGUCGCAAGAUUAAAACUCAAAGGAAUUGACGG
rnacentral:rRNA from 1 species